GUGCUCACUUCGGCAGCACAUUGGCUGAAAUUGGAACGAUACAGAGAAGAUUAGCAUGGCCCCUGUGCAAGGAUGACAUGUACAUUCAUGAAGUGUUUCAUAUUUUU
ensembl:snRNA U6 U6 spliceosomal RNA